CAGUCGCCGCGGGAAUACGUAGGUGGCAAGCGUUGUCCGGAAUUACUGGGCGUAAAGGGCUCGCAGGCGGUUUCUUAAGUCUGAUGUGAAAGCCCCCGGCUCAACCGGGGAGGGUCAUUGGAAACUGGGAAACUUGAGUGCAGAAGAGGAGAGUGGAAUUCCACGUGUAGCGGUGAAAUGCGUAGAGAUGUGGAGGGACACCAGUGGCGAAGGCGACUCUCUGGUCUGUAACUGACGCUGAGGAGCGAAAGCGUGGGGAGCGAACAGGAUUAGAUACCCGGGUAGUCCCUGUCUCUUAUAA
rnacentral:rRNA from 1 species